UUCCCAGGAUAUAGGGAAGGCCAACAGC
rnacentral:piRNA from 1 species